GACGAACGCUGGCGGCGUGCUUAACACAUGCAAGUCGAACGUGAUUUUUGUGGAAAUUCUUUCGGGAAUGGAAAUGAAAUGAAAGUGGCGAACGGGUGAGUAACACGUGAGCAACCUACCUUACACAGGGGGAUAGCCGUUGGAAACGACGAUUAAUACCGCAUGAGACCACAGAAUCGCAUGAUAUAGGGGUAAAAGAUUUAUCGGUGUAAGAAGGGCUCGCGUCUGAUUAGCUAGUUGGAAGGGUAAAGGCCUACCAAGGCGACGAUCAGUAGCCGGUCUGAGAGGAUGAACGGCCACAUUGGAACUGAGACACGGUCCAAACUCCUACGGGAGGCAGCAGUGGGGAAUAUUGCACAAUGGGGGGAACCCUGAUGCAGCGACGCCGCGUGAGCGAAGAAGGUUUUCGAAUCGUAAAGCUCUGUCCUAUGAGAAGAUAAUGACGGUAUCAUAGGAGGAAGGCCCC
rnacentral:rRNA from 1 species